CCUACGGGGGGCAGCAGUGGGGAAUAUUGGGCAAUGGAGGAAACUCUGACCCAGCAACGCCGCGUGAAUGAUAAAGGUCUUCGGAUUGUAAAGUUCUUUUCUAAGGGAAGCAGAAAGUGACGGUACCUUAGGAAUAAGCCUCGGCUAACUACGUGCCAGCAGCCGCGGCAAUACGUAGGAGGCGAGCUUUAUCCGGAAUGACUGGGCGUAAAGGGUGCGUAGGUGGUUUGGCAAGGUAGUAGCGUAACUCCAAGGCUCAACCUUGGAACUACUACUAAAACUGUUGGACUUGAGUGCGGGAAGGGCAGCCGGAAUGCGUGGUGUAGCGGUGGAAUGCAUAGAUAUUAGGAGGAACACCGGUGGCGAAGGCAGGUUGCUAGACUGUAACUGACACUGAGGCACGAAAGCGUGGGGAGCGAACAGGAUUAGAUACCCUUGUAGUC
rnacentral:rRNA from 1 species